rnacentral:rRNA from 8 species
UGUUGACCUCGGAUCAGGUAGGAAUACCCGCUGAACUUAA